rnacentral:lncRNA from 1 species
AUUUUAGGAACGCCCCUUCUUUCCUCUUCUCCUUAACAAGGUGGAGAUGGUUUUGCUCAGACAAACUUUAUUACCAGCACCAAUGAGGGGAACCGAGAAUUCUGAGCCACUGUAGCUGACAUCACAGAACUCCAGCUGCUCUGUGGACUGUAUCCUUUUCUACCUCUGUCCUUAAAAGCUAUUGGAGCCCUUAUUAAAAAAAAAAAAACUGCUGCUGUGUACUUAGAGAGCAACUCUUAUUUCGAGUGAUUCUUUUACCUGAUAAGGCAUUUGGAUAUUUAUUCCUCUAACUCGACUCCAAUCCCCCUAUCUUUUUCGUGUUUUCCCAGGUAAAGAGGAAAAAUCUCCAAUCCACUCCCAUCUGUUUGCCUCAUCCAGCAGAGCUUCCAGGCCACAGAAGGCUCAAGACUACAAUAUAAUUCCUGAGACUGCCAAGACCUUGGGUGCUGAUGGCUUCUCGUGGAUGAGGAGAAAACAACAGGACCACUGGAUUAGGGCUUGUUACAGCCCAACUCUCCCGCUUCUUGCUUCUUGCUUCUUGCUUCUUACUAAAUAAUGGAUCAAUGACUGCCCGGCAGAAUUAGCCUUUCAAUUGACUUUUGUCUUUCGCCCAUCAUUUUCAAAGCUCAUCUCCCAUGGGGAAGACUGAAAGAAGGAGU